AGAUUUUCCUGGUGUAAGGCUUCCUCCUCUCAUCUCCUCAACCAGUUAUUGUGUAUCUGAGGCGGGACUGAUUGCAACUUGCAUCUUUUUCUGUCUACUUGACUUCGCCAUAUCUGAGUUUUCUGGAAGACGGCAGGUUCCUGGAGAGCAUGGGACUGUGCAAAUCCCAGGCACCCUACCCCAUAGCCAGCACAUAGUAAGUGCUCCUGAGUGAAUUUGUUGAACUGAAGCCGGAAGUCAGAGCCGAGGUUGUGUCCCUCCAAGGAAUAGCAGCAGGUGGCGCCACAGACCGGGAGGCGGCAAAGCGGGCCGACGGGCAGGCCUCACGUGGGGCGGCCUCACCUGGCGGCAGCUGCACCUGCCCGCCCUGCACCCCGUGGAAACCGAGAACUCGGGCCCUGGCGUCACCUGGGCAAUUGGGAAAGCAGCGCCCGGAGCCAAGGGGAGGGGAGAUGAAAGGCGGGUGGCGGGUGUGGGCUGCCGGCAGCGCCAGGUGAGGGCCAGGAGCCCCACCCUUCGCUCCAGGACCAGUUACCUCCUGCUGCCUGCAUAUCGUGAUCACCCCAGCAAGUGGGCUUUGAAAGGGGAAGGAUGCCUGCAAUCUGGGCCAGAAAAAAAUUGCCAGGAGAGAAGCAUUGCUGCGGCUGAUUCAAGCGACUGACAGUUCCAUCAACGAACUUGUAAAACUCCUGACUCUUUAACCAGCGGCGUCCAGCCCACUCCUGGAUCGCCUUUCAGAUUGGACGGCAGGCUGCCACGCUGGUUACGACAAUUGCAAGAGCACCCUGGGCGUCCUUGGCCCUGCUGCUGCCCGAGUGCUACUUGACGAGCCCCGUCUGUGCAAUGGGUCUGGCCGGGCUGGGCUUCCUGGUCUCCAGCUCUGAGCUCUGCGCCUGUGGGAGGCCGAGACCCCAGCAUACAGCAGGUAGCUCUCUCCCCCUUAUGUGGGUCCCUGUGGGAAUGAGGCCAGGCUGGCUGGAGCUGCCCCUCCUCCCCUCCACCCUCAAAAGCUUUCAGGGUGAUUAGUUCCCCUCAUGGAGGGGUCUUGUUACGGCUCCACCAGGAGGGCCUCUGAGACGCCUACCUGAGAUAACAGGGCUGCGUCUCCUUUAAUCUCCCAGCUUAGAGGCCACGUUUUAAUAUUUAAGAAAUGGUUUCCUGGCCUGGGGCUGCGUGGAGGGAGCAGCAGCCUACCUGGCCUUGUGAGAUUUGAAUGCAUCCAUAUUUUCUUAGCGGCCCUUUCUGCUCAUCAGCUCGAGGGGCCUGGUUUCCCCCAGUUGCUUCUUUGGGUUGAUUUCAUCUGUACAU
rnacentral:lncRNA from 1 species